rnacentral:rRNA from 1 species
AUUGAACGCUGGCGGCAUGCCUAACACAUGCAAGUCGAACGGCAGCACGACCUAGCUUGCUAGGUUGGUGGCGAGUGGCGCACGGGUGAGUAAUGCGUAGGAAUAUACCUUAAAGUGGGGGACAACCUGGGGAAACUCAGGCUAAUACCGCAUGAGCUCUAAGGAGGAAAGCUGGGGACCUUUCGGGGCCUGGCGCUUUAAGAAUAGCUUACGUCCGAUUAGUUAGUUGGUGGGGUAAAGGCUUACCAAGACGAUGAUCGGUAGCUGGUCUGAGAGGAUGAUCAGCCACACUGGGACUGAGACACGGCCCAGACUCCUACGGGAGGCAGCAGUGGGGAAUAUUGGACAAUGGGGGAAACCCUGAUCCAGCGAUGCCGCGUGUGUGAAGAAGGCCUGCGGGUUGUAAAGCACUUUCGGUGGGGAGGAGGACUUAUAGGUUAAGAGCUAAUGAGUUGGACGUUACCCACAUAAGAAGCACCGGCUAACUCCGUGCCAGCAGCCGCGGUAA